GUACAGACAAGGGGGAUCUGACUAUUUAAUUAAAACAAAGCAUUGUUAUGGUCCCUGCGGAUGCUAACACAAUGUGAUUUAUCCCUAAUGCUCUACAUGUCAAAGUGAAGAAAUUCAACCAAGCGCAGGUAAACGAUGGGAGUAAGUAUGAAUAUAUUAAGGUAGCCUGAUGCUUCAUCAUCUAAUUAGUGAUGCCCAUGAAUGGAUUAACGAGAUUCUCAUUAUCCCAAGCCACUAUAUAGAGAAACGACAACCAAGGGAAUGAGCUUGGAAAAAAUAGUCAGGAAAGAAGACCCUGUUGAGCUUGACUCUAGUCUGACUUUGUGAAAUGACUUGAGAGCUGUAGAAUAAGUGGGACUUGUUUUUAGUGCAAGUGAAAUACCACUACUUUUAAUGUUGUUUUACUUAUUUCCUGGGGUAGAUAUGGGGAAUUGCACAUAUUUUAAAAUAUAACGCACAUUUCCUCAAAGUGAGAUCAUUGAUGGCAAUGGUCAAGAGCUUAUUCUUCACGCACUCGAUAGCAAUGAGUUUAGGAAACAAGCACAAAUUGAAAAAAUUUCAACGUUGGCACAUGGUAUAUGGUUGAUAUGCAUGAUUUAUUCCCCCCACUUGACCAU
rnacentral:ncRNA from 1 species